AAAGAUAUUUCCACUUUGAUUAUGCUUACAGUGAGGGACUGAGGGGCUUAUGAAAUAUUACAGAUUCAUUUUUAAUUCUAAUUCACUCACAGGAGCACGGUUGAUGUUUUAGAUGUAAAGGACUUGGACAAGGGGUUCUAUUUUGGGCAGGUUCAUGGAGGAGCGGUCAACGAAAAACAACAGAGGGACACUGGUGUGUGUGUGUGAAAGAGGUGGCAGAGAGAAGGAGGAAGAAGACAUGUCGGAAGAGACGGCGUGCUAAAGAGAAGACAGUGCUUGCAGCAGCACCGCUAGGACGCCCCCUCAUCCGUUCACCAACAGGCCCCCCCAGAAGUUCUCUGCUUCACCGUGACAUCACACUUUGUCGUCCCUCCCAGCCCCGCCUUGUCAACAGCAAUGAGCAGAUGCUGUCAGGUGAGGUUUGGACAUUGAAGCCGGUGUGUUGGCUGUUGAAUAACAACAUGAGUUGGCUGAAAAUAGACCAGCUAGCGAUCUCUGCUGUAUGUCAGUUUGUGUGUUACCUGAGAGACGAGUCAUGCUCUAUGUACAAAUAAAAAAAAUGUGCUGCAAAUGUUAAAAAAUGUUAAAGUGAUGUAAUUAAAAAUUAAGAGAUUGAUAACACAAAAAAGAAUUGCAGAUUGGUCUAGUUUUAUUUAACAUUCAAUGUUUUGCUUGUAAAAUCGUUUCAGUGAGUAAGACUUUCAUAAUUUCAUUUUUUUAAGCAAUAUAUGCAAUAACUAAGCAGACUUGUGCACCUGCAUCACAUUUGCGUCAUUUGGCAAGAAAAUUCUUCACUCACUGGCAGAAAUUGAGAUUUCUAAAUGUGGCCUAAUUUAAAAAAAAGCAUAAAUUCCAGGAUGAGACUUAUUCCACCGUCUUUAGGUCAAUGAACAGCCUCGUAUAAUCCCACCAUUAUAUUGUCGAGCCUCAGUGUAUUAAUGUUAGGUCUUUAGAACUGGGUAAAGUCAAUUAGUUAAAAUAUCCAUUUUAUUUGCUGUAGCAGUCCAAUGUUUAUUUACUUUAUUGUCAUCGGAUAGACACACACAAAGAACAGAAAUUCAACCUUUUUUUAAAGGUAUCUUAAUUUAAUUGAAUUCAGUAUUAUUUCAAAAUUAGAAUUCAUAACAGAGGUUGUUUCAUAGUGCUUCUGCAAAAAAAAA
rnacentral:lncRNA from 1 species